CAUUUUUAACGAGGUAGUGGAUUAAAGUCUAGUUGUUUCAGUGGCGCCAUACCAUGCUGCGGCUGCGGCUGAGGUCUUGGCGGAGGCGGCGGCGGCGCAUCAGGCGCCAUCUUGGGCGGCAGCGGCGGCGGACUCGCGCUGCUGCUGCAACACGCAAAAUAACUUUAAAUACGGACGCUUGCUGUCAAAAUUCUGAUGGUGGUCACGUUCUGUUAUAAUAUAUAUAAAAUUUUAUCUCUGCUUUAGUCUUUAGCGAGUGGCGAAUUUACACAAUUGUCCUUAGUAUUCAAACUUUGCCGCUCCUACCGACCUAUAUAACCAAGGUAUUGAACCCUGGUCAACAAUCAUAUUACACCUAUCCGUCAACAUCAUGAAGCCAACCAGCAGACAUUGGGAAGGGGGGGGGGGGGGUUGUUAAUAAUGCGGAUUACUUGUUCCACUGCUGGCAAUAUACCCUGUCAGGUCAGCCUCCACGUGGUCCUCCCGGACCAUCAUGCUGACCUGUUUUUCAUUCUCACCUAUCAUCUCCCACUGGUGCCUCGCCAGUGUAUACCGUUAGCGCAAGCGGGGUUACCAUUCCAUUAUCAUCCAUUAAAAAAAAAAAAACAAAA